GACGAACCGUGCGAACGUUGUUCGGAUUCACUGGGCUUAAAGGGCGCGUAGGCGGGUGUCCGAGUCCGGGGUGAAAGCCCCCGGCCCAACCGGGGAACGGCCCCGGAUACCCGACACCUCGAGGGGGGUAGGGGCGUGCGGAACUUCCGGUGGAGCGGUGAAAUGCGUAGAUAUCGGAAGGAACGCCGGUGGCGAAAGCGGCGCGCUGGACCCCUUCUGACGCUGAGGCGCGAAAGCCAGGGGAGCGAACGGG
rnacentral:rRNA from 1 species